AUCCUCGCUUAUAAGCCGGGGGACUAGCCUUUGCUGAGUUCACUAGUAAAACGCGAGGAAAAUUAUAGAGACAUCCAGACACCGAUUAUGUUGUGAUAUAUUCGGUCACUUCGUAUGUCCCACAGUU
rnacentral:snoRNA from 15 species